AGGAAAAUAGCAAGUGUGCUUAUAUAUAUACAUAUGAUACAGUAAGUUUUAUUAUCCUUUCCCAUUUGAAAGGAAUUCAUUUGUAUGGUUCUGGUUUCUUAUAUGCAUUCUCAAUUUUUGAUACACAUUUAUCUAGUUGUUUUGUAGAAGAGAGUUGCGCACUUUUGGUUCCCUAAUUGUAUAGCUUCUUUUGUUCUAAUUUCUGCAGUGAUUGUAAAGGGAAACACCGUUGGAUUUCUUUUGUGUCGUUUGAUUCCACUUCUCGUGGUCUCCAUCUUCAAGCUUUUACGUCCCUCUCUUAUUUAAUUCACCAAAAAAAAAACUCACAUAAAAAUAAAAAAAUAAAAAAUAAAGUAGUUCCUCUGUUUUUGGUAUCAAAAGGAAGCUCUCACUCUGUUUCCUUGUAAUUAUCUGUUCUUUCUGAAGUAGAUUUCUUGGCUUGCCAUUUAGCCAUUCAAUUCGAUUUUUCUUUUAGUUUUUUUAUUUUCUCUUGGUUUCUACCAGCAUUCUUUCUUUCUUUUCUUUCCUUUUUUUUUCCCCCUUUUAUACUGAAAAGCCAAAAAAAAAAAAAAAAAAGAAGAAGAUAUACUCGGCUCUAAUUGGUCUGUUUGGAACUCAGCCUUUAUGAAAACAGACCAUUUCAAGAGCGUGGUCUUGAAAUGUUGUUGGAGAGCAUCAAAUAUUGGCUUUAAAUGGAAUUGGAUUUACUGGUGUGGAUAAUAUUGUCUAUGAAUUAGACAAAGCUGGUUUUCCAGGAUUAAAGCUCUUUCAGUUGAAAAAUAAUCGGACGGACCAGUGCUUGAUUAACUCGAUGGAGCAAAAUCAUCCUUGCAUUGUGUUUGGCAGCUUGGAAAUAUUGCACCUUAGCCAUUUGAAAAAUCUCGAGAAGAUAUGUGAUGGAAAACUCGCAAAAGAAUCAUUUAAAAGAUUGAGUCAUAGAAGUAGAAAAUUGUGACAGAUUGAAGAAUCUUCUGCCAUUCUCCAUCAGUAAGCUGGAGGAAAUUGAAAUAAGAAAUUAUGGACUCUAGUUUCUCAUGAAGAAGGAGACAAUAGCAAGGAAGUUAUUGGAAAUUUUCCUAAAUUGUGCUUCUUGAGGUUGAUAAAGGUUCCAAGGCUUAAAAGUUUCUUCUCCAAAUUGAAUAAAUUAAUAGGUCAGAAAAGGAAAAGCAACCAGUGGAUGUAGAUUCUGUCAUGGCUGUGUUCAUUGGGAAGUUGGUUUUUCUCUCCAUUUUGGAGGAAUUGGAGUUGUCCAAUUGCAAUGAUUUAACAAGGAUAUGGGAUGACCAGAUUCUACCAAGCUUUACUUCUUCUUUUCUCAACUUAACAAAUUUGCUCGUAAAAGACUGCGGUUCUCUGGAAUAUCUAUUUUCAUCUGCUAUGGCAAGAGUUUUGUACAACUCAGAUUCCUUGAGAUAGGUGGCUGUGGGGCUAUGAAAGAAAUAGUUAGAAAUAGUGAGAAGAUGGAUAAGAUGUCCAUUAACGAACAGGUUGCAUUCCCCAGGUUGCAGUGUGUGACCAUUAGAGGCAUGAAUAAAUCGAAGAUAAUAGCAAAUAAUGCAGAAGUAUUUGGCAAAUUGGAAGAGGUAGAUGUUCAGGUUCGUAACUGCAACAAGCUAAUGAAGAUAUUUACAUCUAGUAUGCAGAGAGCACUAGGCAGUCUGAGAAGGUUGGACAUAAGUAGUUGUGAAAUGGUGGAAGAGAUAUUCGAAAUGCGAACGUUGGACGUCGAGUGUAGAAGAACUUACACAAGACACAAUACCCUCUCAGUUGAUUUUUUUGAGUUUAAGCUGUUUACGAAAACUGGAAUAUGUAUGGGGCAUAGAUCCCCGAGGAACUCUUACCUUCACACAUCUUGAGGAUGUUGCAGUUUUCGACUGUCCAAGUCUGAUAUCAAUAUUUCCACUUUCCAUUGCCAAAGGUCUUUCCAAACUUCAAAAUCUACAAACAACAAAUUGUUGAAGCUGUGGGGACUAAUGUACAAGUACCGCCUGAGUUUGUUUUCCCUCAAUUGGAAGAAAGGAAUUUGAACCAUUUGGAAAAUCUUGGAUAACCAUCCAGGACUUCACACCUCGAGUUGGCCUUCAUUAACAAGUUUAAUUGUGUAGAAAUGUGAGAAAGCGAAGGUAUUGCUUCAGAAUUGUCCAGCUUUCAGAAAAUCAUGUGCUCCAUUAUAAUGAUAGUAGUCCAAUCCAACAACCGUUAAUUUUCACUAAGGUAGCAUUCCCCAGCUUGCAAAAUGUAGAAAUUAAAGGCUUGGUUGAAUUGAAGAUGCUAUGGCAAUUCAAAUUCAGUACUGCAGAUUCCUUUUCCAAAUUGGAAGGUGUGAAAUUUUCAAAAUUGCAAGAAUCUAGUGAAGAUAUUUCCAUCUACCAUGCAGAUAAGAAUCCACAAUCCAAAGAGGUUGGAAAUAAGUGAUUGUGAGAUGGUAGAAGAGGUAUUUGAGAUCUAAAUGCCAAACGUUGAAGGAGCUUACAAUGUAAUACCUUCUGAGUCUGAGUUGAUUCAUUUGAGUUUAGAAAGUUUAUUAAAACUCAAGCAUGUGUGGAGCAAAGAUCCCCAAAGAACCCUUACCCUCCCACAUCUUAAGGAAGUCACAGUUAAGUUUUGUCCAUGUUUGGAAUCAAUUUUUCCACCUUAUAUU